ensembl:lncRNA
GGAACCGACCACUUCAGAGGCAGAAGAAACUUACUGUCUGCAAAUUCUUGUUCUGCUGCAUUGCCCAAUGAGGCUCUGAAAGAUAUAGUCCUGCAGAUUAUUGGAGAAAACAAGGGUGUUUGUGAACUUUUCCACCUCUUGGGAUCUCUGUGUAGGACAAGGAAGAUGAGCUGAUGGGCAAGGAGGCCAGACUAGCUGAACAGAGACCUUUGGCUUGAACUCAAGAACAAAAGGAAGGUUUAUGGUCUUUGGAAGAGCGGGCAAGCUACUUACGAUGAUUACAGAAAGGACAAGAUCUUCCAUUCUUCCACUCUAGGAGGAUUCCUCCUUGUCACCUCAGUUAAGGCAACUGGAAGACCGUGGUUCAGAGCUUCACUGUCACCAAAUCACAAGGCUGGCAAUCCAGGAUUCCUGGUUUUGAGUGGAGAAGUUCAUUUCACAGUGCUCCUAAACUAUGCAGAAGGAGCAUGUUGCAAGGCAGUAAAACCUGGUACCUUGUGAGCAGUGAAACCAGACAUCUGAUCUUUUUGAGAAAUGUGCAGUCUAAGCCUACACAGAUAAACUCCCUUGGUUCCUGCUUGAGACCUGGCCAGGCUUCGAGUGGAAUCCAAAAGGAGGAUGACUCCAGAUGUUUCUGCACCUUAAGCUAUCUCAUUCUACUUCCAGAAACAAGACAUGGCCAUGGUCAAAAGGAUGAAAAUUGCACAGAGGAGAGUGAAAAGUUUGGGGUCCAGAGAGGCUCUCCCCAAGGUACUGGCAGACCUGAUAAUUUCCACAGCUGUUCUUCAUAGAGGAGAAGUGAGAAAAGUGUUAGUGACCAUGGGGACCCAAAGCUCUGUCAAUAAAUAUUCAUUUUCCUAAAACUUAAGCCAAGGACCAGUAAAGCUUCCCCUCAGAGCACUAUCUUAUGCUCAGGAUCAGCAGCUAGCUCAGGAGAAUGUUACUCACUCCACUCCGUUCUUUCCAAAGUUCUUAGUAGCAGACCUGGAGCAAGAUGUACUGUCUUUUCUUUUUCAGUGAAAGCAGACAUGGGGCUCCCGCGUAGCCAAGAUCCUCAUAAAUCCAGACACCUCUUGGUCGAGAGAAUUAAGUUUGAAAUUUCCUUCCUGUGAGUGAGCCCUGGAAAAGAAGUAAAAAUACCCAGGACAAACAAAAGAGAUUGAAGCACCUUUAAUUAUGUUUUUCUUGCCCUUCAUAAUCACCAGACAAAGCAGAGCUCUAUAUAUGCAUGAUUAAUGUGAUAAUUUACCACCUAAUUUACAGCUAAG